CCUACGGGCGACAGCAGUGGGGAAUAUUGCACAAUGGGGGAAACCCUGAUGCAGCGACGCCGCGUGAGCGAUGAAGGAUUUCGGGAUGGAAAGCUCUAUCAGCAGGGAAGAAAAUGACGGUACCUGACUAAGAAGCCCCGGCUAACUACGUGCCAGCAGCCGCGGUAAUACGUAGGGGGCAAGCGUUAUCCGGAUUUACUGGGUGUAAAGGGAGCGUAGACGGCGGUGCAAGCCAGAUGUGAAAGCCCGGGGCUCAACCCCGGGACUGCAUUUGGAACUGUGCUGCUAGAGUGUCGGAGAGGCAGGCGGAAUUCCUCGUGUAGCGGUGUACUGCGUAGAUAUUAGGCGGAACACCAGUGGCGCCGGCGGCCUGCUGGACGAUGCCUGACGUUGCGGCUCGACCGCGUG
rnacentral:rRNA from 1 species